CAGCAACGGAUGCCUCAUCGUCCUCCUCUCUCACUUCACUCGCUCUCUCAAUCUCAACGAAUUUCUCUCACCCUCUCAACCCCACGUUUCUCUCACCCUCAAUCAUUCAUCUCUCAGCUGCUCUCUCAAUCUAAAAUGCAAGGAUCCAUGGUUUUAAGGAGAAACAAAAAGAAAGAAGCUCACCUCCGGCGACGACGACUCAGCUUUAGGGUUUCAAUUUGGUAUCCAAAGAUUCAAUAGGGAAACUUCCUGGAAAUGCUUUUUGUGCUCAGAAUUGGGUUGUCCUGUUUGAUGCUACAAUUCGAAACGUGAAUUUCUUGUAACAGGGAGGUUGUGGAUGAGGUUGAGGUUCAAGGGUUUGGUUGCAGAAGGUUCUGCUGUUGUUGUUGCUGCAUCUGAGAUAACAUAUGUGAUAACCACCGUCUGUCCAACUUCAAGGCCGUUUAAUCCAGCAUGUACAUUGAUCGAAUUUGUGCAGAAAACAGCCAACAACCCCAUGUAUAGUUUAUACAUCCAUCCAAGA